rnacentral:lncRNA from 1 species
GGAAAAAGAUAUUUACUAAAAGCAAAAUAAGGAAAAACAAACACACACAUCUGGCGUGUGUGUGUGUGUCGCCCCAAGCAGGAGAAAAAGAGGAGAAACCCUAAAAUCCUUGAAGUUGCAAAAUUGAGAAGGGAAAUUGAAGCUAAUCAUAUGCAUGAAUCUGAAUGUACAACCAUUUAAGCCUACUAAUCAAGUGGCAUAGGGAUCAUGUGGAAAUGGACUCAAGAACGGAAGGUUAACGGGUCAAGCGGAGGCGAGGAAGCAAGCAUGAACACUAACGCUCGAGGUUGCGUGGAUUUAGCAUCAUUAUGAAGGAUAGAAAGAUUGAAGAUCGAGUCAAGAGCAAAGGAUUGUACGGGAAAGAUCGGUCACAUAGUUUAGCAAAUGUAGGUCCGAAGUAUUAAUAUAAUGGAACGUGGUAAAUCCUUUUUAAUGAAUGUAUGACAUUUGAUAUUCGAACUUUCCUGUAAGUACUAUGUCUAUUAAAGAACGAAAUUUUUGGGU